rnacentral:lncRNA from 1 species
CUUUUUUUGAUGUAGGUUUUGGCAGUUGACUGCUAAUCCUCUCCUUUUCCACAGGGCAAGAGAGAGCAUUUCCCUGUUGUCCAUGUUAGCCACAGAGACAGGAUAAGAGGAUGGUUCCAAGUGCAUCUAUUCUAUGCUGUGGUUUUGGCAGCCUGGGUUUAAGGCAAUGUUUCCUAAACCUACCACCAUUCUUCUCCUGAG